rnacentral:rRNA from 1 species
GAUGAACGCUGGCGGCGUGCCUAAUACAUGCAAGUCGAGCGAACGGACGAGAAGCUUGCUUCUCUGAUGUUAGCGGCGGACGGGUGAGUAACACGUGGAUAACCUACUUAUAAGACUGGGAUAACUUCGGGAAACCGGAGCUAAUACCGGAUAAUAUUUUGAACCGCAUGGUUCAAAAGUAAAAGACGGUCUUGCUGUCACUUAUAGAUGGAUCCGCGCUGCAUUAGCUAGUUGGUAAGGUAACGGCUUACCAAGGCAACGAUGCAUAGCCGACCUGAGAGGGUGAUCGGCCACACUGGAACUGAGACACGGUCCAGACUCCUACGGGAGGCAGCAGUAGGGAAUCUUCCGCAAUGGGCGAAAGCCUGACGGAGCAACGCCGCGUGAGUGAUGAAGGUCUUCGGAUCGUAAAACUCUGUUAUUAGGGAAGAACAUAUGUGUAAGUAACUGUGCACAACUUGACGGUACCUAAUCAGAAAGCCACGGCUAACUACGUG